rnacentral:lncRNA from 1 species
GAAAAAAAAAGUCGUGAAACUUUAAAGUGGAAAAAGUAAUUUCUCUGUUUCAAAAAAUACAAUAAAAUAAAGAAAAAAGAGUAAUUUCUCUGUUUCAAAAAAUACAAUAAAAUAAAGAAAAAAGAGUAAUUUCUCAAACUUCUGUAAUUAUAAGCACUGACGGCGAAAGAAGGAUAUGAAUUACUAGAAAGCUAAUGUGGAAAAGCAAAAGCAAAAAGAGAUUGGAUAAAUUGUUUUUACCCUGAAAAAGAAAGAAAUCCAACAGAGAAAUCUUGUCUGAAGACUACUUAAUGCGCAAUAAUGCUGGGUAUCCUAUGAUUAAAUAAUCAACCACCCCUCCCUUAAACAUGGAAUUUAACCCACUUAAUUAAUUACCCAUCCAUCCAUCUUGAACUAUCCUCUUGCUUGAUUCGAAUUUUCUAAUUUUAGAUUAAAAAAACUUUAUUGUUUAUACUGAGUAGGUUUUAGCAGUAAUGUUGGCGCACCUUACCAAAAAAUU